rnacentral:rRNA from 1 species
GACGAUCGCUGGCGGCGUGCUUAACACACGCAAGUCGAACGGAAAGGCCCUGCUUUUGUGGGGUGCUCGAGUGGCGAACGGGUGAGUAACACGUGAGUAACCUGCCCUUGACUUUGGGAUAACUUCAGGAAACUGGGGCUAAUACCGGAUAGGAGCUCCUGCUGCAUGGUGGGGGUUGGAAAGUUUCGGCGGUUGGGGAUGGACUCGCGGCUUAUCAGCUUGUUGGUGGGGUAGUGGCUUACCAAGGCUUUGACGGGUAGCCGGCCUGAGAGGGUGACCGGCCACAUUGGGACUGAGAUACGGCCCAGACUCCUACGGGAGGCAGCAGUGGGGAAUAUUGCACAAUGGGCGGAAGCCUGAUGCAGCAACGCCGCGUGCGGGAUGACGGCCUUCGGGUUGUAAACCGCUUUCGCCUGUGACGAAGCGUGAGUGACGGUAAUGGGUAAAGAAGCACCGGCUAACUACGUG